rnacentral:lncRNA from 1 species
CCGUUGUGUUCCUGAGGCAGUUUGGAUGGACAGGCCGAUAAGACUUCGCUUCGCCUCUAAAGGACGUCGUUGGGAUCGGGGUCCCUGUGAGCAGAAGCUUACAAUCCUCGCACGGGAGGAGAACACAUUGGAAAAUAUACAGAAUCAACCUUCAUCUGGGGAACACUGAAAUACGUUCUAAUGAAAUGCAAAAAAAAAAAAAAAAAAACCAUUUUAUGAGAGAAAUGAGCAUGUAAAGUAAAUAAAAGAUAAAAAACAUUUGCUGCCCUCAUGGAAAACGAAGAAAGGUACCAAUGACAUGAUUUGGAAGUAAUUGCAGCUGUACAGGCCAAGUUCCGGAGUUCAGUGGGCGUCUGAGAAAGGCGGUCAUGCUCCCGGCAUCCACCUCGUUAGGCGUAAACCUCCCGCUCCCCCUUUUCCUGAAGACGCUGCUCCUCCCUGGCUGAGACAUGGUGUCAUCACCUCACCAGAGAAGACCCUGGGUAAGAAACCCGUUCUCCCUCCGCCUCACGCCCCAUCCCCUCAGAGGCUGGUAAUCAGGGAGUCCCACCAAAUGUGGAGUCAUUACCGUCAUUCUCCUGCUCUUUUAGGUUUGACCGCUGCCCACCAUUGCAUUUAAAAAGCUGCUGGCCAAGCCCCAGAUGCUUUCCUUCCAAGACUCUUACAUAACAGAAUGUUAUUUGUACCCCAAACAGUUAUGUAUCGUUGCAUGUGUCUUAGGUUUUUUAGACGGUUGGGUUGGUGCCUGGAAAGAAAGUUCAUGGGAGCUGUUAUCUCCUGACCAUCCCCAUUAGGUGAAAUUCCGCAGUUAAGAGGACACCCAAGAAGUAGUCAUUUCCCUGGCAUCCAUCCCAUUAGAGAUGAGCCUCUCCCUCCCUCCUUCUCUGAAGAAACUCCUCUUCCCUGGUGUAGACACAAUGUAACCAUUUCAUCAGACGCCAUCAAGAAAAUAAUUUUUUAUUUUAAUCAUGUGUUUGAGCCUGUAUGACCAUCAGGCAAAAGCAAGCACACAUAGGAAGGGCUUAAUGUGCUCAAAAAACAGGGCAACCACAAGUCAAAACCAAACAUUAACAUUCGCAAAAACUGAAAAUUCCCCUCAGACCCACUCCCCAUCCCAUC